GCCCCCGUAGCUCAAUGGACAGAGCAGCGCCGUCCUAAGGCGACGAUGGUGGUUCGACUCCUCCCGGGGGCA
rnacentral:tRNA from 1 species